UUUUGACGCCAGAAACAAGAUGAAUCUGGAUGGAAUCAGCAAACAUGGAAUAUGACAACACCAGGGUCAGCCAGGAAAAGAUGGUGCGUGCAAGCCUCAGUUGUCCUGUGUGUGGCAAUAGACAUCCUACCCAUCCUGUGGUUGGGCAGCCAGGGGUGGAAGGACUGUUUGCACCACAGCUUGGAACUCCACAAAUGAAAGCUCUUCCAGGCACUGAUCAACCCACAUUUUAAGAGGAACCUAGACUGUUCUGGAGGUCUCUUGGGGAUGAAGAACAUCUUUGCAGAGCAUCUUGUCAGCGUGGCUUUUAUCUCUCCGGUGACAUGGGGCACAACCUCAGCUCACCGUGAUGGAACUGUGCUCUGCCUUUCUGGAAACCCUGUCACAGCAGAAAAGAGGAAAAAGAAGAAGAAGAAGAAGAGGUGUUAUCACGGGAGAGGAAACCUGCAGUGGUCUGCCCCAGCCUAAGGAGCUCCUUCAAUAUAACCCAGAAAAGCUAAAUGGACCAGGACUUUGAAACUCUUUUGCACCUUCCCUAAAGGAAGAAGUUGAAAUCAUAAUACUGCCCAUUAGGGUGAUUAAAUCAUGUCCACAGAACCAAUGGCAUUUAUGAUGGAUGCAUGUGAGAGACAUGAAAUUUAGAAGAGCAUCUUUUAUCUGGAUGAACAGCAUUUGGAACAAGCCAAUGCACUUCAUCAGAGAAUUUGUUGUAUGAAGUAAUGUAUGGGGAUUUCUGUGCUUUCACCCUGGAGCGUGGGCAAUCCCAUUGUCUGCCGCCUCUCAUUCUUCAUGCUAAAAUACUGGUUUCAGGACUCAGCAGAGACAGAUAGUUUCUAUAUAGCGGUCUGUUUAUUUGUUU
rnacentral:lncRNA from 1 species